UGGUUUAAUUCGAUGAUACGCGAGGAACCUUACCAGGGUUUAAAUGCAGGACGACAGGGGUGGAAACACCCUCUUCUUCGGACGGACUGCAAGGUGCUGCAUGGUUGUCGUCAGCUCGUGCUGUGAAGUGUCGGGUUAAGUCCCAUAACGAGCGCAACCCCCAUUUCUAGUUGCCAGCGGUUCGGCCGGGGACUCUAGAGAAACUGCCAGCGUAAGCUGUGAGGAAGGUGGGGACGACGUCAAAUCAUCACGGCCCUUACAUCCUGGGCCACACACGUGCUACAAUGGUGGGGACAACAGGUUGCCAACCCGCGAGGGUGAGCCAAUC
rnacentral:rRNA from 1 species